UCUUAUUGGACCAUCUUGGGUCAUGUGCCUUCUCUAGACCAAUCACUGUGGAUAGGAAAUUGGGAUUACACUGAUUGGUCUAGGCUAUUUAGGGCUCACCCCUGUUGCUGGAGGAGAGGUAGACAGUCCCAUACAAACUGCACAACGGCCGCCCCAUGGAGGAGAAAUGGGUGCUGGAUAGCAGCUCAACUCUGUUUUAAGCUACCAUAUGCCAUACACUGUGGUAGUAUCACUGUGAACAAUCUGCUCUAGCCAAACACCCAUAAGCAGAUUUUUUAAAUGUUCAUAGCACAACUUUGAGAUGCUUUCAGUUGGAAGCAAUAAGCUUUCCUAGUGGGAAUAAUACCUUUAAAUAUUCAGAUACAUCAAACUAAACUAUCGAUCUAGGUUAUUGCAUUGUGUGUUAAACCCAAGUCUUAAGCAAGCUGGUAUUCGGCAAAGGGGAGAAGGCACUGCCGUCUGUCCAUUUUUCCAGCUGUCUGGUCAUUUUCUGUGCAACAAGUUGUGUCUGCGGGGUCACCUGGCAGCCUGCACGUGUGACACUGUGGUCACUAGUGGGUCACCAGGACAUUGAGGCUGGAAUUGAUAAGAAUGCAGAGGCACCCGGAAAGUUCUGUUGCUCAUAAAUACCUGAGGGUAUGCAAGUUCUAUCUAUCCAAUAGGAACAUAUUUCACUGAAGUAUGCUGUAUUCCUGAAAAUCCUUAAAUUGCUAUCUGAGUACCACUCCUGAGUUGCAUUUUAUAGAUUCCUAAAUUAUAUGAUGCUAUAGCAGAAACAGUGAUCUUUGUCUUAUUCACAGUCUUAGCCAAGACUGCUAGAAAGCAAGCAUAUGAAGUUUGAUGCUCUAGGAUGAUAAUGUCAAAUCCUACUCAAUUAAGUUCCUUAAAAUUCAAUCCCCUGCCUUUAGUCUAUUACUAUUACUAUCGCCAGUUACUAUUACUACACACAUGAACUGUUCAUCACCUUAUUUUGAGAUUCUCAAAUUUGAGAGAACUGUAAAGAUAUGAAAAACUGGGUAUUGGAGUUGAAAAGAUUAAAGGUUAUGACAUGUACAUUUCAUGAAAGUUAGUUUAGAACAAACGCUUCAUUUUCCCAAUGAAUCCUAAUUAUAAAGUAGGCACUUUGGCACAAUAUUUCCCUCUUAACUGUUUGCUACAACACUAGGAGUGGAUGAAUAAUAGCGGACCUCAGAUGACUCAAUGGUCCAGGAGGACAAAUCUUUGUACAGAGGGGAACAGGGCGUAUUUCACUGCGAAGGGUUCCAUCUCAUAAUCCUCCUAGUUAAGAGAACUGUGGAUGCCCUCAAAGGCACAAAGGGAUAGCAUUCUGCCUAUUAAAUGUGCUUCUGCAUUAAUCCAGAAGUUCUUUGUUGAUAAACAGAUGCACAGCAACCACAUUUAAAUUUCAGAACCUUACAAUAAGAUGUAUUUGAAUAAAGAAGAAAAACAGGGAACCCAAAGCUAUUAAGUGGAGCUUUUUAAAGUCAUGGCCAGGUGCUAUUUCAACACAAACAUGUCAGUUCCAUCCCAGUUAAAGCAGAUAAAAUCCUCCAGUCUCUUCAAGAGUUGUACUUGGACAACGAAAUGGGAAUUUUGUGUAGGGUUUUUCAGGUGUGAUGUUUUUAAAAAUUUUUGCGAAUAAUAUUUUCAAGGCAAUUGCUUUUGAACAGGGCAGCAAGGGGAAGCCAAGUUAGGUUAACAGAUCAACCAUAGAAAAUUCAAGAGGGUCCUUUGCUGGGUGAGAGGGAGUCUGUGGCUUUGCCAUGUGGUUGUGUGGCUCCACCAAGUUGCCCUGACUGUUUUGCAGGGGUUUGUGGUGUAUUCACUGACACCUCGGUGGCUGCAGGCUGAGGAUGGCUCUUAGGCGGGCUCAGCCAGCUUGGCACACUCUCAGCUCUGGGAAGUCCACGCUGUUUUACAAAGAGCAGGUGGGCGAAAAAGCUCAACACUGCAGGGCACGUUGUGCAGCUGUGAGAGGUGGAAUUCCCCUCAAAAGGAUCGGCACUGCUUUGAAAAUAAAUUCAUCAUUAAAACAGAAGGAUUUCUGAAGCAGUCGACGAACACAGGGCUUGAUUGGUUUCAAAUUAACUCUUUGUACUCAUCUUUCAUUCACCCCUUAAGAAGACGUCUCGGCGUUUUCCAGGGAGGUAACACAAAUAAUCCUUGACAUCUUUUCAAGGGAGGAGAGUAAAAAGUUGGAGCACUCCACCACUGCAUCUGCUUUCCAUUCGCCCUGCAUCUCGCUGCUUCGAUGCGCAGUGGGGAGGCACCCACGCUGCAGUGCAGGCGCUCUGUUUUGCUUCAUGUUCAGUAUUUAGGAAAAGAGGGGUGUGCUUCUCCCUGGACGGAGGGUCUAUGCGUAUCCUGAAGGCUAGGCAGUUGCUCCUUCUUCCUCUUCCUUUCCCUUUCUUCCCCUCUUUCUGGAUCUGUCUCUUCCUUCAGCCCCUCUCCCCCACCCUGGCCCCCUCCCUGGGAGUUAAGAAUGGCCUCGCUUCUGUUCUUCUUGCUACUAAUUUAAAGCCCUUCCUCUCCCUUGUGGAAAAUAUCUGAUAACGCCGUUUUCUCUGAGGGAGGCCAUUUGUAUAUCUUUCGACCACGAAUCCCAUAAACAAUUAAAUGCAGAGCAGGCUAGCCUGUGGAAACCUUUCUGGCUACUUAAGUGAAGUUUCCUAAUCCUUUUCUGCAGCGACCCAGGCUCUGGGGCCCAUUCAUCUGCCGUUGCUUCUCAAGCACUUUGAUCUCAGGCCUUCAUUACAGCUCAUUUCAGCAUUAAGGAUGAUCUGAAUUCAUGAGCUCUUCCCUUCCUAAUAAGUGCCAUUCAUAUCCAUCCUCAGGAGCAACCACAGCUCACGGAAAACUGGUUCAAACCACACGCAAAAGAAUAAUGGACUAGCUUCAAACACAAGUGAAAAACGGGGGUUUUAUUAGCCGAAUGAACCUCUGAAUGAGCUGCUUCAUUAAACAGAGGAGUCUCGUUUUCAGGGCGCUGUUAAAUCCACCGGUUGCCACUCUGAGAUUAGUAAGUGUGAUUAUUUCAUUUUUUUUUCAGGUGGAAAUCCUGAGGUGGAAAAGAGACUGAAAUAUACUCCCUACACCCAAUGCAGGCUACAGUUGAUCUGGGGUUUAUUUGGCUUCAUAGAUUUUUCAGCCAGAGACCCUAUUACAUAUCUUUCCUGUUAGAUUGUCUGGAGUGAUGCGCCACUCCUAAAAAGAACCUACUCUUUUUUUUUUCCAUUUCCUUUAAAAGCAAAAAAAAAAAAAAAAAAGAAGAAGAAAUUUAAUUUGGAUUCAGCUAAUACCCUUGUAACUUCUAAAGCUGUGAAGCAAAAAGAGGAAGAGAUAAUUAGAAGAUGAUGAGAGCUAGCACAUAGCCCGGUGGACGGAAAAAGAGGUACAGAGGAAGGUGGCAAACCUGCCACCUAGUCCAUUAACAGCCUUUGCUAUAAUUAUGUUUUGCUCUGGCUUUAAACUGGUGAAAGCACAAAGGAGACACUAUUAACGUCUUUCGCCCGCAGAAGAAAGUUCAUCCUGUAUACCCGCAUCUCCUACUGUUCACCUGUGUGGCCAAUGAAGUAAUCCUUCCACCAUUUCCAGACCUGUCCAGAGCCUCAGCACCUGUGGAAACCACUUAUCUGCACUAUGUUCCCUUUGCUGUGCACACUUGAAGUGGCUUCUCUUCUGUGGACACCCUGGUGAUGCAGUGCCCACAGCCCUGAGCCUGUGCCUCAUUCCACUUUGAACCUGAAGUGUCAGCAUGGCACCUGGAUAAUGUCAGCGCCACGGACACUGCACAUGUGUUGCUUCACCAAAUGACGGUGCUCUGUGAGCACUGGUGUGCUUUCUCAUCAAGGCCCUUGCCAGGU